rnacentral:rRNA from 1 species
UACGUAGGGUGCGAGCGUUAAUCGGAAUUACUGGGCGUAAAGCGUGCGCAGGCGGUUCGUUAAGUUCGUUGUGAAAUCCCCGGGCUCAACCUGGGAACUGCAUUUGUGACUGCAUAGCUGGAGUGCGGCAGAGGGGGAUGGAAUUCCGCGUGUAGCAGUGAAAUGCGUAGAUAUGCGGAGGAACACCGAUGGCGAAGGCAAUCCCCUGGGCCUGCACUGACGCUCAUGCACGAAAGCGUGGGGAGCAAACAGG